CAGACCCCUGCCGCAUCCAGCUUCCAUUAUUCUGCCUCAAUCUGCUAUUGCCAAACCAUCCCUGACGACGGGACUAUGAUAACCGCUGCAACAUGUUCUCCUCAGCUUCCCAAGUGCUCGGUCCUUCAAACAAGGAAGCAAGCAAAUGGGAAAGGUACGGAAAGUCCAGUGCGUACAGCUGGUUUCAGCAAUUUCAACUUGCGUAAGACCCCGUUUGUGAAAGAAACCCAAGAAUCUUCGAACAGGAUGUAAUCAACCUCCGAUCUACUGAGAAACAUUGCAAAAAAAAAAAAAAAAAUGACUUCAGCUGCCAAAAAUAAUAAUGUCGUUUACAAGCAGCUUCUCCUAUGUGUAAGGAAGAGCCAGCCACCCAGGAGUCCGUGCUGGCUUUGGAGGAGCGAGGGGAGAAAGAGGCACAGUCUACCUCCCCCACUUGAAAAUGCACACUAUCAGAACCCACUGGAAGCUGCGGCCCAUUCCGAAGGUGCUGGCAACGUCGAGGGACAUUCGUAUCCACAAAAAUUCCGAACGAUUACAUUAUCUGUGCUUUCAAGUCAUCAUUGGAAAUCUGGCUCUGACUGAACUGGUGGUAUCCAAGAUGAUCUUGGACUCAACACUGAUAAGUGUGAGAUGCUUCAAAGUAUUUCGGUGCUUGUAAUUUGCUUCAAGGACUAAGAGAGACAAGUUUGAAAGCAAUAUGUUCUGAUCA